AGUCAAGGCCCCACUGUACUCUUUUAAUUAAUGUUUAUUUUUGAGAGUAUUACAGAUGUCCCCCAUUUUUGGUACAUCCUGAAUUAUAUCUACAUUCAGAUUUACCAAAUCCAUAAUGUGUUGCCAAGUUACAUUAUUUGAACGUCAGUAAAUUCUGACUUUGCCUCCUUUUUAGCUGCUGGGAAAAAGUUAGUGUUUCUUUAGUCUUGAAAUCUCUGAAAAUUGGAAAAUGUCUGAUUUUAGUAGUGAAAAUGUCAAAUAUGAAAAUAUAUCAAAUAGAAUAUGCUAAUUCUUUAUAUAAGACUAACAGAGACAUAUUUUCAGUCAUAAAUGUAGAUAGCAGGAUAGGAUCGCUCUGCUGAGGACUCCAUCCUUCCCUGGAUGAAUGCCUUUAGGAGGGAUAAGAGCUUUUAGUAGCGCAGAACUUGUGUUACAGUUAGGUAUUAGGUCAGUGUUUGCAAAUGUUUUGACCACAAUCCACAGUGAAUAUACAUAUACAUGGCAAUUUGAGAUACACACUGAAAUAAAAGGUUCUAUGAGUGGGAUUUAGCCUUACUAGGUGGGGUACAUUUUAAUUUAGGUUCUUUAUCAUAUUGAAAACGUUGAAUAUCCACUAAUGAGUUUCAGCUUGAGGUUUAUUUGCCACCCAUACACUUUGGUUAAAUGUUCAGAUUUACCUUCUUAAUAAUUUAAGAAUUCUUUACAUAUUCUUGAUGCAGGUCCUUAAUCGGAUAUGCAUUUUGCAGAUAUUUCUCCCACUUUGUCUUGUCCUUUAUUUUUCUUAACAGCGUCUUUUGUAAUUCAUACUUUUGGUGUCCUAUUUAAGACUACCUAAUCCAAGAUCAAAAUGAUUUCUACUAUGCUUUUUUCCUAAAAGUUUUCUACUUUUAACUCUUACAUUUAGGUUUAUGAACAAUUUUGAAUUACUUAUGCUAUGAGCCAUCUUGCCUGUUAUACGGAAGGAGAAAGAAAACAAUUUGGCUUCAAAGAAGAUGCUGAUCUUUAUGUAGAAUGG